rnacentral:tRNA from 1 species
GCCCCGGUAGCUCAGCCGGUGGAGCGUCGGCCUCGUAAGAGGCAUGGAGAGGUUCGAGAUAGCCGAAGGUCCCGGGUUCAAACCCCGGCCGGGGCU